GUGGGGAAUCUUAGACAAUGGGCGCAAGCCUGAUCUAGCCAUGCCGCGUGAGCGAUGAAGGCCUUAGGGUUGUAAAGCUCUUUCGUGGGGGAAGAUAAUGACUGUACCCCAAGAAGAAGCCCCGGCUAACUCCGUGCCAGCAGCCGCGGUAAUACGGAGGGGGCUAGCGUUGUUCGGAAUUACUGGGCGUAAAGCGCACGUAGGCGGACUGGAAAGUCAGGGGUGAAAUCCCGGGGCUCAACCCCGGAACUGCCUUUGAAACUCCCAGUCUUGAGAUCGAGAGAGGUGAGUGGAAUUCCGAGUGUAGAGGUGAAAUUCGUAGAUAUUCGGAGGAACACCAGUGGCGAAGGCGGCUCACUGGCUCGAUACUGACGCUGAGGUGCGAAAGCGUGGGGAGCAAACAGGAUUAGAAACCCGGGUAGUCC
rnacentral:rRNA from 1 species